rnacentral:tRNA from 2 species
GGUCGAUGCUUAAUGGGAGCGGACUGUAGUAAAUUCGUUGGCAAUAUGUCUACGCUGGUUCAAAUCCAGCUCGGCCC